rnacentral:rRNA from 1 species
GACGAACGCUGGCGGCGUGCUUAACACAUGCAAGUCGAAUGGAAAGGCCCUGCUUUUGUGGGGUGCUCGAGUGGCGAACGGGUGAGUAACACGUGAGUAACCUGCCCUUGACUUUGGGAUAACUUCAGGAAACUGGGGCUAAUACCGGAUAGGAGCUCCUGCUGCAUGGUGGGGGUUGGAAAGUUUCGGCGGUUGGGGAUGGACUCGCGGCUUAUCAGCUUGUUGGUGGGGUAGUGGCUUACCAAGGCUUUGACGGGUAGCCGGCCUGAGAGGGUGACCGGCCACAUUGGGACUGAGAUACGGCCCAGACUCCUACGGGAGGCAGCAGUGGGGAAUAUUGCACAAUGGGCGGAAGCCUGAUGCGGCAACGCCGCGUGCGGGAUGACGGCCUUCGGGUUGUAAACCGCUUUCGCCUGUGACGAAGCGUGAGUGACGGUAAUGGGUAAAGAAGCACCGGCUAACUACGUG